rnacentral:rRNA from 1 species
UUGCUCAGUAACACGUGGACAACCUGCCCUGAGGACUGGAAUAAUCCCGGGAAACUGGGGGUAAUUCCAGAUAUGUCAGAACUCCUGGAAUGGGUUCUGGCAGAAAGGCUCCGGCGCCUCAGGAUGGGUCUGCGGCCUAUCAGGGUAGUAGUGGGUGUAACGUACCUACUAGCCUACGACGGGUACGGGUUGUGAGAGCAAGAGCCCGGAGAUGGAUUCUGAGACAUGAAUCCAGGCCCUACGGGGUGCAGCAGGCGCGAAAACUUUACAAUGCGGGCAACCGCGAUAAGGGGACCUCGAGUGCUGGGUUACAAACCUGGCUGUUGGGCUGCCUAAAAAGCAGUCUAUAGCAAGGGCCGGGCAAGACCGGUGCCAGCCGCCGCGGUAACACCGGCGGCUCGAGUGGUAACCGCUGUUAUUGGGUCUAAAGGGUCUGUAGCCUGCCGGCUAAGUCUCUUGGGAAAUCUGGCAUCUCAAGUGUCAGGCUGCCAGGGGAUACUGGUCAGCUUGGGACCGGGAGAGGUGAGAGGUACCUCAGGGGUAGGGGUGAAAUCUUGUAAUCCUUGAGGGACCACCAGUGGCGAAGGCGUCUCACCAGAACGGAUCCAACGGCAAGGGACGAAAGCUAGGGGCACGAACCGGAUUAGAUACCCGGGUAGUCCU